rnacentral:rRNA from 1 species
GACGAACGCUGGCGGCGUGCUUAACACAUGCAAGUGGAGCGACGAACCGGGCUUCGGCCCGGGGCAAAGCCGCGAACGGGUGAGUAACACGUGGGUGACCUGCCCUUAGCUCUGGGAUAAGCCUGGGAAACUGGGUCUAAUACCGGAUAUGACCUCAUGACGCAUGUUGUGGGGUGGAAAGCCUUGUGCGGCUAGGGAUGGGCCCGCGGCCUAUCAGCUUGUUGGUGGGGUGANGGCCUACCAAGGCGACGACGGGUAGCCGGCCUGAGAGGGCGACCGGCCACACUGGGACUGAGACACGGCCCAGACUCCUACGGGAGGCAGCAGUGGGGAAUCUUGCGCAAUGGGCGAAAGCCUGACGCAGCGACGCCGCGUGAGGGAUGACGGCCU